UGGGGAAUAUUGCACAAUGGGCGCAAGCCUGAUGCAGCCAUGCCGCGUGUAUGAAGAAGGCCUUCGGGUUGUAAAGUACUUUCAGCGAGGAGGAAGGCGGUAAGGUUAAUAACCUUAUCGAUUGACGUUACUCGCAGAAGAAGCACCGGCUAACUCCGUGCCAGCAGCCGCGGUAAUACGGAGGGUGCAAGCGUUAAUCGGAAUUACUGGGCGUAAAGCGCACGCAGGGGGUCUGUCAAGUCGGAUGUGAAAGCCCCGGGCUCAACCUGGGAACUGCAUUCGAAACUGGCAGGCUAGAGUCUUGGAGAGGGGGGUAGAAUUCCAGGUGUAGCGGUGAAAUGCGUAGAGAUCUGGAGGAAUACCGGUGGCGAAGGCGGCCC
rnacentral:rRNA from 1 species